GCCACUUCCCUGGGCAGCCUAUUACAAUGCCUAACAACUCUUUCAGUUCUUCCUAAUAUCCAACCUAAAUCUUCCCUGGUGCAACUUUAACCCAUUCCCCCUUGUCCUGUCACCAGGCACACGGGUCACCAGGAUACAUAGGUGCAUAUUGUCAAAGUCAUGUAUUUGGAAGCAAAAUAGAAUGCUGUUUAGACAUUCAUUUAUUUAUUUAUGCUGCUUCUUCAUAUUUUUACUUAUAUUUUGAUUAUGUAAAUCAGGGGUACUCUAAUCCCAGGAACAAUGAGGGUCAGAUGGACCUUUCUGGGCCCUCCAACUGAGCACGUGAUAUUCUUCCCCUCAAAGCUUCUGGCAUUGUCUGGCACUGACAUUCACUUGGUGCUGCUGCUUCAGGAGAAAGGAAUUGUUUUUGAGGAGGUGAAAAAAAGCCCUCUGCCUUGGAUGAGGAUGUUCGGUGGGCCACCAUCUAACCAAGACACAUAGGCAUUGUACUGGAGCUCAAACUAUGUUGCUGGCUGCAAAAAGAUGACUGGUAAAUCAAAUACCCAAUUAAAUCACUCAUAUACUAUCCACUACCUUCAUUUAAGCAAGGGAGCUAUUCUUGAAAUACUUUCUUCACUUUUUACCAAAUGUAUAUAUAUAAACCAGCAGUUCCUUCUUAAUGUUUCUAACCUCUAUGCACCUCAGAUAUUUACUCUUGUGGGUACCAUUUCUCUCAUUGUGUGACCUACAGGUUGCCUCCCCCUAAUUCCUUUUUGCUUGUGAUCCUCUGUAGAGUCUUCUUUCCAGGUGCCCUCUAUUCAGCGUAUGCUUACCUCGGUCACUGGACAUCAUCAUUACUUCCUUGCUCAGAGUGCUUUUUCUGAUUCCUACACUAUGGUACUUUCUGGACUGAAUGGAUCUCUGUCUGUCAGUGAUCAAAGCUGUCAGUUGCUGUUUAUUUCCUCACCUCCUCAAUUUGGCUCCUGGGAGGAUGUUUCAACAGACGUUUUAGAGAGAUGGAAAAAAACAAUGUCCUAUUAAACUAAUGACCCUUGGCUAUACUAUCUACAAAUGAAUGCAGGCACAGACAAUUGCCCAGUUUUGUACUGAGGUUGUGUAUGCAUAUUUUUGAUAUCAAUACUCUCUCUUUUUUUUUUUUUUUUUUUAAUUUCAAAACUCUUAUGCAUAUUGUCUAGCUAUAAAAUGUAUGCAUAUAACAUCAAAAAAAAAAGUGUAUUAUUUCCACUUAACAGUAAUUAUCCCAAUGUAACUAUGCUACUCCACUAAUUAUUUUUGCUUAUUAAGAAUAUUAACAAAGUUCAUGUCCAGAUUUUCUGGUAGAAAGCACUGGUGGCUCUUCUGUUUAUUCUUUUCAGAAGGCUUCUGUAAAGAAUUUCUGAAGCCUUUUUAUUACGUUAGUUUUUGUUUGUUUGUUUGUUUUGUUUUGUUUUUACAGAAUCAAAAAUCUGGGAUAAAUUUGUUGUGACUAGCUAUUAGCAAACAAGAUUUUCUAUUCAGAACAGCAAUAAGCUCUUUCUUUUGGAUAACAUAGCUGUAGUGUUUCACAAAUUCAACUCCAUCUUCAUGUCCUACGAUCACCGCACUAAUCCCAAAUAUUGCUGGUGAUUUUUACUAACAAAUGGUUUCUCCACUAUCAACAUUCUGCUUAAUAGGUUAUAUUUAAUAUAUUUAAUAUAUUUGCAUUACACAAAUGUUGAGAGGACUUUUUAAAAAAGACUUUUUUUACUGUAUUGGAUGAGGGAUUUUGGAGACCAUGAUGGAGGAAAAAAAAAAAAGUGGAAAGACCUUGAGAAAGAGAGAAAAAGAAAGAUAAAGAACAUUUUUUUUUUUUUUUUUAUGUCAUUGAACAGAAUAGCUGACUAGGAAUACAUGAAGAGCUGUUCAGGAUGAGAUUUUAGCAUGAACAGAAAAACAAUGGUCUGAAAGAGAGACACAGAUCUUUGCACAGAAACAGCAGUUGAAUAUGUAUUUAAAAGAGGGGAGAGGAGAGGAAAGGAUGGGGGGUGGGGAGGGGAGGAGAUUUCUAACGACUUGUUGGACUCUAAAGAAGGCUGAAGGUGACUGCACUGGGAUGCUCUAAAGGAAAAACAAACAAACAAACAAAACACACAGGAAAAGUAAAAACUUACCAGUUAAAAGAAAGGUGAGGGCUGAUGUUGGGUCAGCAUGAGGAGAAAAUACUAGGAGUGUAGACUAAAAUGUCAAAAGUACUGGAAUCAUUAAGAGCAGAUCCAGUAAAGCCUAAGAAAUGAGGAGAGGGAAAGAGGAGAAAGAGAUUAAAAUGAAAGAACAACUCUUCACAGUUAAUGUUGAGAAUAUAUUCAGUAUUUUUAAAAUUGAAAGGAGGCAGAGAGAUUAACAGUUGGAGAAGCAGGGGAGUUCACUUGACAGUUUUUAAAAUUUAUUUUUAUAUGCAUUAAAAUUUAUUAAACAAGAAGAAACUUGAAGCAUAUUUUUAUUUCUAGAAGAAGGAACUAUAAGAUACAGGGAAAAAGAGGCUAUGAUAAAGUAGUGAAGGAUGAGAGUAGCCACACUGGAAUUUGGAAAACAUGGUCAGACAGGGCCGUAAAAAUGGAAAUGUGAGGACGCAAGGUAUCAAAUGCUGAGGAGAGUGGACUAAAUCAUCUCUGUCUGUGAAAGAAAAACAUAGGAGCUGUGGUUAAAGGGAAUGAGAAAGGGAAAAAACUCAAGCCAUACUGUGUUUGCUAAUUUUUCUCCUGGAAGAAAUCAUCCACAUUACCGGGAAAGACACAGAAACUUUAUUGUAAUAACCGAUUCCUCAUAACACUUUGUAAUACAUAUAGCAUAUAAUAAAGCAAAACACUGUGAACUGCAAAAUUAUCUCUAAAAAAUAUAGAGAAAACAAAGGUUUUAAUGGAUUCAUCAAAAGCUUGUGCAGGUGAUCUAGCUAAAAUUACCCUUGUUUGGAUAAACACUAGUAAAAUGUGCAUUAAAGUAUAAAACACAGGUCAUUAUUCACUGUUUCCAAGGCACUGUUCAUACGGAAAAGCAAAUGAGAGAUCAUGAGAAUGGUUUAAGCAUUACUGUUGAUUCAUGCCAAAUUAGGUUUCUAAUCUGUGCAUACAGCUAUUAUUAUUAAAACAAAACAUUUAUCCUCUUGAGUACUCUAUUGCUUUUUCUGACUUCAGAUGAUGUCCUGUACCUACCAGUGCUGUGCACCCAUCUUUUAAUCUGUGUUUUUUGGCACAAUUUCUUGUUUGUUGAGCAAUAGAUUGAUACACUCGCAAGGAAUAAAAGAAAGUGCUUUGCAGUACUAGCAUACAUGCUGUGGUAUUUUGAAUACACUGGAAAUACCAGCUAAUGAUAACAGGUUGUAAUGAAAUCUUUCAGGGCUGUAAGGCUGAAUGGAAAAAAAAAAAAAAAAUUAAAAAAAAUCUCCCUCUAAUUUGUAGUGGGGAGGACUAUAAUAAAUGUUUCUGUACCUCAGUGUGUUUGCAUGCAUUCAGUGUGUAUAGGAGGUAAUGUUUAAAAUGAUAGUUGCAUUUGGCCUAACCAUUUACAAACUGAAGAUGCUUCUGAGACAUUUCUGCAGCUGGUUACCAUUUUAUAUCUUUUAUCAGGGGAAUAUUUUGCAUGAUAGCCUUGUCUUCCUCACACAAAGGACAAUAAUUAUGCAACAGAGAUGAAUAAAGCAGCUCAGAUAAGGAGUAUAUCAAAUUCAUAUCCUGUGCUACCUCAGAAAUCUGAUAGGAGAUUGAAUUUAUUUCCACAAUACAGAUCACAGUUACAAAAAGCUUUUCAGUCACUUCUGGACAGAGUUAGGACACUGGCUCAUGAGAAAAGUUACAGCAAGCUAAACUAUAGCAUGAUUUUAAAGCCUGUCAGCUUCAAGGGUUGCUUCAGUGGAUGAUUCAGUGCAUGGUCUUACCACAGAGAAAAGGCAAGGUAGGUCACCCAGCUUUUAUUGAAGAGUAAAGUAAGCUUCCUUGUAUACAGGCAGUUCUCACAGACUCUACACGUUUUACUUCUCAAUGAGCUAAUUGUUUGUUGAUACCACCAGUCUCCUGUGUUGCUAACAGUUAACAUUCUAUCUGCAUUUCCUCUUUAUGUUGAAAAUAAAAAAGGAUCAAAAAAGAAUCAUUAAAACAAUAAUAGCACCCUUAGAGAAAUAUAGUCAUGCAUACUCACCUAGACAAUAAAACUGGAUGUAGAAGGUGGUCUUAUUAGGAGCUCAGACUAGAUGGCCUUUCUGAUACCACAGCCAAUUCUAAUUAGCAAAAUGUUUACUCUGAAGUGUCUAGUUCAGCUCUGGAAGGAGAUUCAUCUACAGUCUUCAUCAGAUCAUUCAGGUCUAUUCUUGCAUGUUUGGCCUGGGUCCUAAUACAUAAAAAUCUUCCCUCAUCUGGGGACUCACCACCUUAAUUCUCCUCCUGUAAAACACAACACCCCCCCACUCGAUGAGCUCCCUAAGAGUUGAAAAGUUUGAUUGUAAAGCCAUUUUGUCUAGGAACUUUUGAAGAGUACAGUUAGUAUCUCCAGACCCUGGGGAAGAAGAUUUGUUCUCGGACAUAGUGUAGCACAGAGACCUGUGAUUCAGGGGUACAUAAACUGGAUCAGGCUUCUGGUAGCAUUCUCUCUGUACCCUCUCCAAAGGUGUCCAGCCCCCCAUUUGGACUACAGCACAACAGGUCUCACAGUCAUCAGCAUGAGGUCACCCGUUCAUCUCUUUCUAAUUCUAUUUCUCUUCCUAAUUCUAAUACUUGGAAGUUGGCUUAAAACAAUGAGCAUGAGGUUUUACAUUCCUUUCCACCAUCUAUUUUUAGCUUUCACUAUCAUAACAUGGAGUAUUCUCAGCAUUCAUACAAAUGCCCAUUUCCCCACGGAUUUUUGCUAAACUUUUGGCCUUGGUGGUAUCUAUUGUCAAUGAUUUAUGAAGUUUAAUUGCACAUUGUCUGCUCUCUCCCCCCCCCUUUUAUGCAUUUUCAAUUGGCUGCCUUCAAAUUUAAUCAAGUGUACUAAUCUGCCACUGUAUUAUUUUAGAAUAGCUUAUCCUUUCUGAAAUUCUUUACUGUCCCUCUGGAUUUCAAUAAAAUCUAAAGAAAUUCAUGUUAUCUGUAAAUUUUAGUAUCUCACUGCUUGACCCCAUUUCUGGAUAAUUAAUAAAUACAUUAAAUCAUUCCUUAAUCUCUGAUGCAGCCUUAAAACCUUCUGUUGCUAGUGGUUUAUUAUCAUGCGUCUCCUGCUUUCUGAUUCUUAGCUACUUUUGAAAGCAUAACAAUACUUUGCAACUUUUUCCUUGUUGUUCACAGCUGCAUUGUAUCCAAUGAAUUUUCACAAGCAAUGGUAAAUGUAUUCUCUUGAAACUUCUGUAUUCUUCUCAGGGACUUUGUCAAUUUUUCAAAGGAGGGUUAAUUAACUGGUAGUUUACACUAACUUUGGACUUUGAGUAUAAAAUAGCUAAUGUAUGUCUCACAAAAGCACACAUAUACAUCACUUCUUAAGCUUUGCAUUCACUGGUCUUUUGGAAAUUUCCAUAGAGCUAUUAGGAUUUUUAUUUUCCUCAGUCCUUGAGAGAAAAUGUGUUUGUCCUUUAAUUCGUUUGAGAAGGGCCCUGUAUGGGCCAGUUUGGGAAUGAGCAUCACAGAACCCCAUCAACAAAAUGUCUUUGAAGCAAGAAAAUUUUAAAUAUCUAUCUUCUAAAGUGUUUUUUUUUUUUUUUUUUUUUUUUUUUUAAUUCCUCUGAGUUUCUCUUAAGUAAUUCUUCUCUAAGUAAGAGUUCUUUGAAGCCUAGUCUCCCAUGUGCAGUUACAGGGUCCACCUGUGCAUCCAUCCACACAGAGAAGGGUUGGUGUGUCAAUCUGAUGUGCUACACUUACAUGAAAUCAUCAUCAAUAAUAAUCGCGUAAUGAGGUAUUGCAUUUUGUAUGAAACUAGAAAAAGAAUCAGACCUGAGUUUCACUGUUAUUCUUUUUAAAAGUUUUACAUUUUACAAAAGGUGGGGCAGACAACCAUUUUCCUGUGAAAAAGCACAUCCUCCCCAGUAUACUCCCAGCAUUUUCCAAACCAUUGUCUUUUCAUACAGUUCUCAAAUAGCCCUGGGAAAUAAAAUAUGUUUUUACUUUUUCACUCUUCCCCUUGUUCAGAAUAUUACUAAAUUAAAAAAAAAAAAAAAAAAAAAAAAAGUUUAUAAAGGACAACAUGAAAACCAGUAAAGAAUUGAAAAAACUAUCUGUUAUCUAAAAAGACAUUUUUUCCUCUUCAGUUUAAAAUGCUCAGACAAAACCUGUAUUAAUUUUAAAUUACUAACUUGAGAGAGAAAUGUAAUAAAAUGUUUUGCUAAUG